rnacentral:rRNA from 1 species
CCUACGGGGAGCAGCAGUGGGGGAUAUUGCACAAUGGGGGGAACCCUGAUGCAGCGACGCCGCGUGGGUGAAGAAGCGCCUCGGCGCGUAAAGCCCUGUCAGCAGGGAAGAAAAUGACGGUACCUGAAGAAGAAGCCCCGGCUAACUACGUGCCAGCAGCCGCGGUAAUACGUAGGGGGCAAGCGUUAUCCGGAUUUACUGGGUGGAAAGGGGGCGCAGACGGCGAUGCAAGCCAGGAGUGAAAGCCCGGGGCCCAACCCCGGGACUGCUCUUGGAACUGCGUGGCUGGAGUGCAGGAGGGGCAGGCGGAAUUCCUGGGGUAGCGGUGAAAUGCGUAGAUAUCAGGAGGAACACCGGUGGCGAAGGCGGCCUGCUGGACUGCAACUGACGUUGAGGCCCGAAAGCGUGGGGAGCAAACAGGAUUAGAUACCCCAGUAGUC